rnacentral:lncRNA from 1 species
CUGCACAACAGUUUUUUAAUAUAGAAAAGGGGACUUGUGUUUGUACGGAAAAAUAGAAGGAGAUGGGUAAGAGGCUUAGGAAGUCAUCAAGGUCACCUUGUUGUAAAUGAAAACCAGCCAGGACAACAGAGUUAAGCAGUUUACUCUUGUGGAACAGGGAACCUUUCUAUUCAGGCAAUCUCCAAAAGGGGGGAGAGCAAGAACUGCAGUCCAGUGAAGCCUUCUGAUUUUAGCCAUUGGAAAAGAAACAAAGCAAUCAGCAA